UACGGGGGGGGCAAGCGUUGUCCGGAAUUACUGGGCGUAAAGGGCUCGUAGGCGGCCCACUAAGUCAGACGUGAAAUCCCUCGGCUUAACCGGGGAACUGCCUCUGAUACUGGAUGGCUUGAGUUUGGGAGAGGGAUGCGGAAUUCCAGGUGUAGCGGUGAAAUGCGUAGAUAUCUGGAGGAACACCGGUGGCGAAGGCGGCAUCCUGGACCAACACUGACGCUGAGGAGCGAAAGCCAGGGGAGCAAACGGG
rnacentral:rRNA from 1 species